AGUGAACGCUGGCGGUAGGCCUAACACAUGCAAGUCGAACGGCAGCACAGUAAGAGCUUGCUCUUACGGGUGGCGAGUGGCGGACGGGUGAGGAAUACAUCGGAAUCUACUUUUUCGUGGGGGAUAACGUGGGGAAACUUACGCUAAUACCGCAUACGACCUACGGGUGAAAGCAGGGGAUCUUCGGACCUUGCGCGAUUGAAUGAGCCGAUGUCGGAUUAGCUAGUUGGCGGGGUAAAGGCCCACCAAGGCGACGAUCCGUAGCUGGUCUGAGAGGAUGAUCAGCCACACUGGAACUGAGACACGGUCCAGACUCCUACGGGAGGCAGCAGUGGGGAAUAUUGGACAAUGGGCGCAAGCCUGAUCCAGCCAUACCGCGUGGGUGAAGAAGGCCUUCGGGUUGUAAAGUCCUUUUGUUGGGAAAGAAAAGCAGCAGGUUAAUACCCCGCUGUUCUGACGGUACCCAAAGAAUAAGCACCGGCUAACUUCGUG
rnacentral:rRNA from 1 species